rnacentral:rRNA from 1 species
GACGAACGCUGGCGGCGUGCUUAACACAUGCAAGUCGAACGGAAAGGCCCUGCUUUUGUGGGGUGCUCGAGUGGCGAACGGGUGAGUAACACGUGAGUAACCUGCCCUUGACUUUGGGAUAACUUCGGGAAACUGGGGCUAAUACCGGAUAGGAGCUCCUGCUGCAUGGUGGGGGUUGGAAAGUUUCGGCGGUUGGGGAUGGACUCGCGUCUUAUCAGCUUGUUGGUGGGGUAGUGGCUUACCAAGGCUUUGACGGGUAGCCGGCCUGAGAGGGUGACCGGCCACAUUGGGACUGAGAUACGGCCCAGACUCCUACGGGAGGCAGCAGUGGGGAAUAUUGCACAAUGGGCGGAAGCCCGAUGCAGCAACGCCGCGUGCGGGAUGACGGCCUUCGGGUUGUAAACCGCUUUCGCCUGUGACGAAGCGUGAGUGACGGUAAUGGGUAAAGAAGCACCGGCUAACUACGUG